rnacentral:lncRNA from 1 species
GUUGCUGCUGUUGGUGUGGAGGCGGUGGCGGGAUCGGAGGCUUAGGGCCGCUCUGGCCCGGGCCAGGACCCAUGGGGCCGCGAUUCUGAUUGAGGCCCAUGCCGGGCGGCGGAGAACGGAAGUCGUGGAGGCCGCCGCGGCCGCCGCCUCCUCCACGCCUGUGGAAGCCACCACCGCCACCGCCACGACUCCGGAACCGAUCCCGAGACAUGUCUGUGGUCAAGGGGCGGUCGAGGCAAAAGCGAAGAAGACGCUCAGGAAACGUGGAGGCCACCUUGCUUCUCACAAAAUGGCGGAUGACACAGGCGGCGCGCCGCCUUUGUCCUCGUCUUAUAUAGGCCAGCUGGCACGGCCCCGCCUACUCCACGAUCGACAGCUCCAAUAGCCAAUUGCAAUUACUAUGCUUGAUGACACUAAGUUGCGAACCUCUGAUCAUUCCUAUUGGCCCCUGGGUGAGAGGCGGGAGGCAUGGGGGGACUGAAGUUUCCAGUUGGCCAGUGAGCGAAGAAGGCGUUGGCUGUAGGCCACUAUGAUUUGCUAGGAGAAAUUUGAAUGGGUAUGCCAGGGCAAUUUUCACUUGCGAGCAAAUAACCAGGGCUCUAUCCGCUCCUGCAGAGAAGCGUUGGAGGUCUCUUUUCUUUCUUGAUUGUCCCUAGGAGCAAUCUACUGAUAUCCUUGCCCAGAAAAACAGAUGUUUUCCGAUUCAAAAUCAGAAAUUGAGUGCCUGCUGUCUACCCUACCUCGUGCCAACUCAAUGAAAGUAGAGAAGUAAAAUCUUACCGAUUUCAAACAUACGCAGUCUUAACUGAUUUCAUUAUGGAACCUCAUAGGAAUACAGAUUUAUUGUAGCAGCAUAAACUUUUCAAUAGGCUUCUGUGGGUGCGCGCUUUGUUCAAAAAGAGCCCUUGUGUGUAUGUGUGUAUAUAUACACGUUUACAAACACCAAUCACAGGAGGAAUGUAAAUAUUCCACUCAACACUUUACGAACAGACUAAGGUACUUUUAAAAAAUUACAAUGUUAGGCUGGGCACUGUGGCUCACGCCUGUAAUCCUAGCACUUUGGGACACCGAGUCGGGCAGAUCACCUGAGGUCAGGAGUUCUAGACCAGCCUGGCCAACAUGGCGAAACCCCGUCUUUACUAAAAAAUACAAAAAUUUGGCUGGGUGGGGUGGCUGACGCCUGUAAUCCCAGCACUUACUUUGGGCGCCGAGGUGGGUGGAUCACGAGGUCAGGAAUUCGAUACCAGCCUGGCCAAUAUGGUGAAACCCCGUCUCUACUAAAAAUACAAAAAUUAGCUGGGCGUGGUGGUGCACGUCUGUAGUCCCAGCUACUCGGGAGGCUGAGGCAGGAGAAUUGCUUGAACCCGGGAGGCAGAGGUUGCAGUGAGCCGAGAUUGUGCCACUGCACUCCAGCCUGGGCGACAGAGCAAGACUCAGUCUCAAAAAAAAAAAAAAAAAAUUGCUGAGCUUGAUAGUGCACACCUAUAAUCCCAGCCACCUGGGAGGCUGAGGCAGGAGAAUUGCUUGAGCCCAGGAGGCGGAGGUUGCAGUGAGCCGAGAUCGCGCUAUUGCACUCCAGCCUGGGCGACAAGUGCCAGACUGUCUCAAAAAAAAAAAAAAAAAAAAAUUACAAUGUUACAAUGUCUAUAGGGUAUUAACCAGUCAGAUGCAUCAAUUAUUUUUCUCUUAUUUUCUUUGACACAGAGUCUUAUUUUUUUUGACACAGAGUCUCGCUCUGUUGCCCAGGCUGGAGAGCAGUGGCACUAUCUCAGCUCACUGCAACCUCUGCCUCCCAGGUUCAAGUGAUUCUCCUGCCUCAGCCUUCCGAGUAGCUGGGACCACAGGCGCGAGCCAUCAUACCCAGCCAAUUUUUGUAUUUUUAGUAGAGACAGGGUUUUGCCAUGUUGGCCAGGCUGGUUUCAAACUCCUGACCUCAAGUGAUCCACCCACCUAGGCCUCCCAAAGUGCUGGGAUUAUGGGAGUGAGCAACCACGCCCAGCCUGUAUUUCACAAUCUCCAGUUUCUUUGAGGUCCACAGACCUUUUGCGGAAUAAUUCCUCCCUCAACAUUAGCUCAUAGCUUCUAUCUUCUUUUCUGCAUCUAACUCUCUUCAUUCAAGAUCCAGGCGGGACCGGGUGCGGUGGCUCACGGCUGUAAUCCCAACACUUUGGGACCCAAGGCUGAGGCAGUAGGGUCACUUGAGGUCAGGAGUUCGAGACCAGCCUGUCCAACAUGACAAAACCCCCUCUCUAGUAAAGAUACAAAAAUUAGCAGGGCGUGGUGGCAUGCACCUGUAAUCCCAGCUACUCGGGAGGCCGAGGCAGGAGAAUCGCUUGAACCCAGGAGGCAGAGAUUGCAGUGAGCCGAGAUCACACCAUUGCACUCCAGCCUGGGCACAGAGUGAGACUCCGUCUCAUAAAAACCAAAAAAAGAUCCAGGCAGAUGACCCACCCAACACCCUAAUGGCUCAGUUCCUUACCUCCUCCAUUAGUAUUUUCUUCUACCCUGUAUCACCAUCCAGUCUCCCAUCCUCCCCUCAUCACACUCACUCCUGAUUGUUAUUACCAGUAACUGCACUAUCUCUGAAAUCUUUAGUUCAAGCAUGCCUCUUACUGAUCAUCCCUUUUCUUUCUGACUCACAUAACAUAGUAACCUCAUGAUUCCUUUCAUUAUUUUUUUUUUUUUGAGACGGAGUCUCGCUCUGUCACCCAGGCUGCAGUGCAGUGGUGCAAUCUCGGCUCACUGCAACCUCCACCUCCCAGGUUCAAGCUAUUCUGCUGCCUCAGCCUCCCGAGUAGCUGGGACUACAGGCACGUGCCAUCACGCCCGGCUAAUUUUUUUAUUUUUAAUAGAGGCGGGGGUUUCACCAUAUUGGCCAGGCUGGUCUUGAAAUCCUGACCUCAGAUGAUCCACCCGCCUCAGCCUCCCAAAGUGCUAGGAUUACGGAUGUGAGCCACCAUGCCCUGCCCCUCUCCUCAUAUUUCUUUGAGAAUAUAACAGUCAUCGGAGAGGAACUUUCCAACCCAACUGGAAAAGCCAUGAGCCUACUUAAAUUUGCCUUGUCUUUUUAAAUCUUUUUCCCUGAUACCACGAAAAAUGUGUCUUUGCCCUUAUCAAAGGGCAAACCCAUGGCUGGUCUGAGUGCGGCGGUGUUUACAACUAAUUGAUCACAACCAGUUACAGAUUUAUUUGUUCCUUCUCCAUUCCCACUUGACUGGCACUAUUUAAAAAAAAAAAAAAAGCAAAUCCUCUUCUUGUGCUAUGGAUUCCAUCUACACAAGCCUUCACCAGAAUUUUUCUUUAGUCUAUCAAUUACUUCUAUUGAAUCAUCACCAUCCCGUUUCUUUUAUGCUAUCUCAUCUUUGCUCCUUUUUGUAACAAAACUUUUUUUUUUUUUUUUUUUGCGACAGAGUCUCACUCUGUCUCAAAAAAUCCUGGCUGGAGUGCAGUGGCAUCAGCUUGCCUCACUGCAACCUCCGCCUCCUGGGUUCAAGUGAUUCUCCUGCCUCAGCCUCCUGAAUAGAUGGGACCACAGGCACGUGCCACCAUGCCUGGCUAAUUUUUGUAUUUUUAGUAGAAAUAGGGUUUCAUCGUAUGGCCAGGCUGGUCUCAAACUCCUGACCUCAUGAUCCGCCUGCCUCAGCAUCCCAAAGUGCUGGGAUUACAGGCAUAAGCCACCACGCCUGGCUUUUUUUUUUUUUUUUUUUUUUGAGACGGAGCCUUGCUCUAUACCCCAGGCUGGAGUGCAGUGGCCGAUCUUGGCUCACUGCAACUUCUGCCUUUUGGGUUCAAGCGAUUCUCCUACUUCAGCCUCCUGAGUAGCUGGGAUUACAGGCAUGUGCCACCAUACCCAGCUAAUUUUUUUUUUGUAUUUUUAACAGAGACAGGGUUUUGCUAUGUUGGCCUGGCUGGUCUCAAACUCCUGGCCUCAAGUGAUCCACCCGCCUAAGCCUCCUGAAGUGCUAGGGUUAUGGGGGUGAGCCACCGCACCCGGCCAUGUUUGUAACAACACUUUUAAAACAAGUUGUCUACACUCACAGUCUCCAUUUCCUCACUUCUCUUUCCUCUUCAAUCCACCCCAGUCUGUCCACACUACUCCUCCUAAACUGUUGGGGAGGAUACCAAUGAUUUCCAUGUUGCCAAAUCCAGUAAACACUUAUCUAUAGUCAUCUUUUUUUUACCUGUUAGCAACAUUCAACAUAUAUAGUAAUCUGUCUUUUUUGAAGCACUUUUUCUUCACUGGCAUUCUGUGACACCACACUCAGGAUUUUUCUCUUCCUGCCUCACUGAUCAUCCCAUUUCCUCCUUGUAGGACCUCCAAACAUUGAAAUAUUUUAGGACUCAGUUCUCGCCGGGCGCAGUGGCUCACGCCUGUAAUCCCACUACUUUGGGAGGCCGAGGCAGGCGGAUCACGAGGUCAGGAGAUCGAGACCUUCCUGGCCAACACGGUGAAACCUCGUCUCUACUAAAAAUACAAAAACUUAGCCAGACGUGAUGGCGGGCGCUUGUAGUCCCAGGUACUUGGGAGGCUGAGGCAGAAGAAUGACGUG